AAGAGUAACGGAGGAGCACGAAGGUUAGCUAAUCCUGGUCGGACAUCAGGAGGUUAGUGCAAAGGCAUAAGCUAGCUUGACUGCGAGAGUGACGGCUCGAGCAGGUGCGAAAGCAGGUCUUAGUGAUCCGGUGGUUCUGAAUGGAAGGGCCAUCGCUCAACGGAUAAAAGGUACUCCGGGGAUAACAGGCUGAUACCGCCCAAGAGUUCAUAUCGACGGCGGUGUUUGGCACCUCGAUGUCGGCUCAUCACAUCCUGGGGCUGAAGUAGGUCCCAAGGGUAUGGCUGUUCGCCAUUUAAAGUGGUACGCGAGCUGGGUUUAGAACGUCGUGAGACAGUUCGGUCCCUAUCUGCCGUGGGCGCUGGAGAAUUGAGGGGGGCUGCUCCUAGUACGAGAGGACCGGAGUGGACGCAUCACUGGUGUUCGGGUUGUCAUGCCAAUGGCAUUGCCCGGUAGCUAAAUGCGGAAGAGAUAAGUGCUGAAAGCAUCUAAGCACGAAACUUGCCCCGAGAUGAGUUCUCCCUGAGACUUUAAGUCUCCUGAAGGAACGUUGAAGACGACGACGUUGAUAGGUCGGGUGUGUAAGUGUAGCGAUACAUUGAGCUAACCGAUACUAAUGAACCGUGAGGCUUAACCUU
rnacentral:rRNA from 1 species